AAGGCCUGAUGUGUGUGAGAUUACCCGCUGAAUUUAAGCAUAUAAGUAAGCGGAGGAAAAGAAACUAACUAGGAUUCCCUUAGUAAUGGCGAAUGAACAGGGAUCAGCUCAGUGCCAAAUCGGAAUCACUUGUGGUUCUGAAAUGUGGCUUGAAGGCAGUACCAGUGGCAUCGCGGACGAAAGUCUCUUGGAAAAGAGCGUCAUAGAGGGUGAGAAUCCCGUGAGUCGUUCGCCGUUUGUCACGUACGGUCUGCGUUCUAACGAGUCGCGUUCCUUGGGAUUGGAGCGUAAACGGGUGGUAAAUUUCAUCCAAAGCAAAAUAUAUACUCGAGACCGAUAGCACAAAAGUACCGUGAGGGAAAGGUGAAAAGAACUUUGAGAAGAGGGUUAAAUAGUGCCUGAAAUCGUUGAGAAGGAAGCGGAUGCCGCCGUUGCAUAUGCUGAUUGUAGGAUUGCUGCUCGCUCCUGUCUUCUGCUACUCAUUCACAGACCUGGUCGUGUUGAGCAGUUGUUUGGCAGAUGUUAGUGGUGUUUCCUACUUUCAGUCGUCAGCAUCACUGGCUGAGUGGAAAUAAUCCUUGGAUGCUAAU
rnacentral:ncRNA from 1 species